rnacentral:rRNA from 1 species
CCUACGGGAGGCAGCAGUAGGGAAUCUUCCACAAUGGACGAAAGUCUGAUGGAGCAACGCCGCGUGAGUGAAGAAGGGUUUCGGCUCGUAAAGCUCUGUUGGUAGUGAAGAAAGAUAGAGGUAGUAACUGGCCUUUAUUUGACGGUAAUUACUUAGAAAGUCACGGCUAACUACGUGCCAGCAGCCGCGGUAAUACGUAGGUGGCAAGCGUUGUCCGGAUUUAUUGGGCGUAAAGCGAGUGCAGGCGGUUUAAUAAGGCUGUUGUGAAAGCCUUUGGCCCAACCGGAGGAU